UAAGCAGCUGUCUGUGUGGGUC
rnacentral:misc_RNA from 1 species